rnacentral:rRNA from 1 species
UACGAAGGGGGCUAGCGUUGUUCGGAAUUACUGGGCGUAAAGCGUGCGCAGGCGGCUGCUCAAGUCAGGGGUGAAAGCCCAGAGCUCAACUCUGGAAUUGCCUUUGAGACUGAGUGGCUUGAGUACGGGAGAGGUGAGUGGAAUUCCCAGUGUAGAGGUGAAAUUCGUAGAUAUUGGGAAGAACACCGGUGGCGAAGGCGGCUCACUGGCCCGAUACUGACGCUGAGGCACGAAAGCGUGGGAGCAAACAGGG